AUUGCCCUAGUAACGGCGAGUGAAGCGGCAACAGCUCAAAUUUGAAAUCUGGCUCUUUUAGGGUCCGAGUUGUAAUUUGCAGAGGGCGCUUUGGCGUUGGCAGCGGUCCAAGUUCUUUGGAACAGGACGUCACAGAGGGUGAGAAUCCCGUACGUGGUCGCUAUCCUUCGCCGUGUAAAGCCCCUUCGACGAGUCGAGUUGUUUGGGAAUGCAGCUCUAAAUGGGAGGUAAAUUUCUUCUAAAGCUAAAUACUGGCCAGAGACCGAUAGCGCACAAGUAGAGUGAUCGAAAGAUGAAAAGCACUUUGGAAAGAGAGUCAAAUAGCACGUGAAAUUGUUGAAAGGGAAGCGCUUGCAGCCAGACUUGCCUGUAGUUGCUUAUCCGGACUUUUGUCCGGUGCACUCUUCUGCGGGCAGGCCAGCAUCAGUUUGGGCAGUUGGAUAAAGGUCUCUGUCAUGUACCUCUCUUCGGGGAGGCCUUAUAGGGGAGACGACAUGCAACUAGCCUGGACUGAGGUCCGCGCAUCUGCUAGGAUGCUGGCGUAAUGGCUGUAAGCGGCCCGUCUUGAAACACGGACCAAGGAGUCUAACAUCUAUGCGAGUGUUUGGGUGUCAAGCCCAGACGCGUAAUGAAAGUGAACGGAGGUGGGAACCCUUUGGGUGCACCAUCGACCGAUCCUGAUGUUUUCGGAAGGAUUUGAGUAAGAGCAUGGCUGUUGGGACCCGAAAGAUGGUGAACUAUGCUUGAAUAGGGUGAAGCCAGAGGAAACUCUGGUGGAGGCUCGCAGCGGUUCUGACGUGCAAUCGAUCGUCAAAUUUGGGCAUAGGGGCGAAAGACUAAUCGAACUAUCUAGUAGCUGGUUCCUGCCGAA
rnacentral:rRNA from 1 species